AUUCUUUUUCAUUUCUUGAUCACGAUGCAUUAGUCGGAUGUUCACCUUCUGAGUGAGUGGCAGCAGCGCAGGCCAGCAUUUUGUCGGUGAGCCAGAGCAUGCCGGGUGCCCAAUGGCCAAGCUGCCGGCUCUCUGCACUCCGAGUCUUUUAUUUCUUAUCAUGAGAACUUUUAAGUGGCUCUGCUUUGGUUUUUAAAUUCUCAGAUUUGUUUUCCCUCCUAUCAAUGCCAUGUUCAUGAUCUCCUUCUCUACCAGUAUUCCUGGAUAAGUUUUGCUAAUAAAACAGCAAUGUCUUUGAAUCCUGCUGUCUUACUAGACUUCUGUAAAUGUAGAACAUCUAUGGUGUUUUCAGUCAAAAUGAAAAUACUCAUAUGUCAAAGUUUCAGCCUUCUAUAUGGGCUUCUUUCUGAUUUGGGAGAUCCUAUUUAUAGCUAAUAUUAAUAUAUUUAUGAACAUCAAUCUGAUAACUUCUAGGCACUUAAGGUAGAAAGAACAUUCAUUUACAACAUGUGCUUCACCUCCUCACUGUCAUUGGAGAGGUUGGACGGCACCAUGGUGAAGAGAAUGAACUGCGGCCCAAAUGCUGGGCGUCAAAUUCUGGCUCUGCCACUGCCAGACCAUGUCACCUUAGACAAGUCAAUCUCUCAGCCUCAGGUUCUUUGUCUUGCCUUUUUCAAAUCAAUAAAAUGAAGCUAUUAAUAAUCUGAUUGUGAUAGGCAUUAUUAUUAAUAAAACAAUGCCUGGCAUACAGCAAGUGUAAGGAUGAGGACUGCCACUUCUAUUGUGAUGACUGUCACCAAAACCGUUCUCACGGAGCAGAAAGAGCAAGGCUGAUGACCCCACAGGCCAGCUGGAGACAGCCAGAGGAUUGGGACAGCCCCAGGGGCCCGGACAGCAGGCCCAGCAGGUUUCGGCAAGCAAGGAGUCGGGAGCAGAGAGGCCCUGCCACAUUUCCUAUCUUGUUGGAGAACUAGGGGCUGAGAUGUGAGCAGAGCUCAAACACAAGGAUGCUGGCCUGAUACUAAGACACGGUUGCACCUACUGUAAGUUGAAAGGGAGACCUCGAUCCCAGUGGUGAGAGGGAACACCUGGAAUCAACAGCUGGGAUGUCUGGCAGAGCAGGACAGGCAGAAUUUGCCAUGCUGCCGAGCUCCUGGUUCAACCCUAUACAGCAUGCUCUCGAAUAACAAUGUUUCUUUGGAACGUUAAUGAGAUGCUGCAGGACCUUAACUCUUGUUUGUCAGUUGGCAUGUGGUAAGUUUGGUUUCAUUAUCCAUUGUUUUGCCACAGUUCCAAGACCCUAUUGACAAUGUUGAGUGAGAACUUACUGAAUAUCCCUGGCUAGGAACAGAAUUUGUCCCAGGGAUUAGGGAGCACCUCAUCUGUGGAAAUUCUGUGUUGUCAUCUUAGAACCAUGCAAACUGUUUUGUGUCCUUGGAACUUUUGUUCAGAAUAGAAAAGGUGUUGUAUGAAUCACAAGCUUGAUUCGUUAUGACAGUUUUUCCUUGAGUACUUCCCUGGGCUUGCUCCUGGGGACUCAGAGACAGGUAAGAACAAUGUCCACUCAUACGAGGCUCUCAGUCUAACAGGGACAUUUCUCUGGCCAUCUGGGAUAGAGGUCUCCCUAAUUUCAGCUUUCAAGGAGAACCUCUCUGUUGUCAGAAUCAUUCUCACGCUAGAUGUGAUUACCUCUAGGUCCAGAGGCACACCUAAGACAUUGGACCACCGAUCCUGAAUUGCAGGGAGCUUAUGAAAAGAAGGCCUCUGAUCAUAAUGGUGUUGUGCAGAUAUCGUGGACAGUAAAGUCCGAACAGCUGAUUCCUGCUCCCCUCCCCUUUUUAUUUUACUAACUCAGUGACCUUAGUGAUCUCUUUGAGCCCUAAUUUCCUCAACUGAAUACUGGGGUUAAUGUUGUUUACCUUUCAGAGUUGUCUUGAGAAUUAAAUGAAAUAUUAUUGUUAAUAGUAACACAUGCCUUACACAUUGUGAGUUCCUUCCCCGUACCCCUCCUUCACGAACAGUGCCGGGACCACUAAAAGAGCCCCCUAUGUGGGAUUCCAGCCUUCAGUCUCUUUCCCUUCUGAACUUUCCUACCACAUUCUUCGAGUGCAGGUGGACUGCAUGACUCCCCUUAGAAAAACCUCCAGUAAUUCCUCCACCCUGCCUGACUGGCCUUGAGGCCCCUCCGCAGUGUCCCGACCCCUUGGCCAGCUCUCCUUUCACUGCCCUCUGUGUGGUCCAUGCUGGAGUCCGACGGGCCUGCUCAGCACUCCCCGAACCAGCUGAUUACAUCCUGCCUCCAUCCCACUCACCUUUCUUCAGCGCUAGAGAAAAAUCUCUCCUUUUCUGCUGAAAUCCUGGCCACAUGUCUAAACAGCUCACCACCUGCCAUCAAUUUCAUGAAGUCGUUCCUGGACACCAGCUCUAAACAUUAUACCACCUUCCUCUAAAGUCCUCUAACACUUCACGGCACCACUUUUACACUAUUUCUCAUCCCAUCCCUCACAUUUUAACUAUGUGUCUAUAUCUGGUCUCCCUCCUAGAUUGUAGGUUUCUGUAGGAAUGGUCAUUACCUGCUCUGUAGUAUCUGCUGCCGUGGAGAUGCUCCGUAAAUACUUUGAAUGGAUGAAUGACUGCAUGAAUGGAAUGUUCCUAUUUCAUAUUAUUCAAAAGUAGUACAUUGUUUGUCAUUAUUUUAUGGGAGCUAUUGAGUAAGUUUCGGUUUUACAAACUGAAUUAUGUCAGAAUGCAUUGUUAUGCUUCAGUGGUAUUAUCUACCAUAAACACACAGUCUAAUGUGAUUACAUUACACAGGCUCUUGGUGAGGUCAUUGAAUAGUCUGCCAAGCCCACUGCCCCCUAGACAGAGGCUAGUUCUUAAAGACAAAGAUAAGUUAAUCGUUUUGGUUUCAGUCCUAAAAACAAUUGAGUUUGGAUAACUUUUCCUUCAGGACCAUUUAGUUCAUAAAAAACUGACCUUAAAGAGUUCCGUUGUACAGAACCCUCAUAUUUGUCUGUUUAUGUAUCUUUCCGUGAUUGAUAAUGGGAUUUAUAAACAGGUUCCCCAUAUGACUUUAUGGAAUUUAUUUUGCAAUUGUGAUGAAAAAUAUGGAAAACAUGUCUAUAAUAUUAAAUCAAACUAAGCACUGGUUCUAACUAAAGACCCUGAAAUUAAUGUUCACAGAAAGCAAAAGGAGCUUAUUUAGUGAUCAAUUUGUUAAAUUUUAGAUAUUUAUAGUAUACUUAGGAUCUGUAAGGUACAGUAAUGCCGUCGACCUAGAAGGAAUGUUUUGUGGUUUAAAUGAGCUUAAAAAUAAGAAAUUUCUGGUACUAUAUCCACUACAUACAAAGAUUUGUUGUGUUCUCAUCCUGCUGUGUGCACUGCCUACUGAGGGGUUCAUUUUGGAAGCACCCAUGUGCCGGGAUUGUAAGAUUUUAAUCCAUCCUUUGUAGUAGGACUGGUAAUGGAUGUUUUCAUUCUCACCCAGAUCUGUUAUGGUGCUUAUUCUUUCUCUCUGAAUACCGUAUUAUUAAUAUUUUCAUAUUUAUUUUCAUUUAUGUGUUGCACUAAAUUUUUAGAUAUUGUCAUUUGGUAUGUGACAAUAGGCCAGACUAAAUAUCCUCUUCCCCCCAAGGAUCAUACAAGUAUGAAGCUUGAGCAUUAAAUUCAAUGGAAACACCAAGGAUGGGGAUUACUGAGGCAAUGUAAACAGAUGGUAAUGAGGUUAAAGAAGUAAAAUGGAGGGUGUUUGGCACUGAUGGUGUAUAUGGAUUAAAAGGAAAGGUGUAAACACUAAAGUCGGGAAUUUCUCUAAUGCAAGAAAUUUCAGAGACAAAAAGAAAUGUUUGAGUAAUUUAGGGAAAAAUUAACAUAGGUUGACAAAACUUUACAUUAGGAAAAUUAAAUAGACACUUAGAUUCAGAUCUAUACCUUUAGAAAAUGUGACUUUAAUCAAUGAAACAAAUACGCCUAUCUGUUUUUUUAUUUCCACUUCACAACAUUUCUUAUUAACAAAUAAUGAUUGGAUAACUUCUCAAUAUCAGUGUAGGUACAAUGUAUAGACAAUGAGGACAUAAAGAGAUAGAUCUGUUCCAGCUCUUAUGAGGUCUAUAAGAAUGUAAUUGGAAAUCCAAUACAAUAUAAUCAGAAAGAGACAGCAUAAUUGCAUAUGCAAGCUCAUAGAAUAACUGAAUAUAUAUUAAGAUAGACCAUCUAUUUAUGUAGGACAAUCAUGUAAUUUGGGGGAUUCUGACAUCAGAAGAGUAAAUUGAAUUCAUUGGGGAAAAAGAAGAAUAAAUUUGUUGCUAAAGCUGUAUGAUUUCAUAGCCCUUUCUCAGCUAAAAAGACAUUUUUAAGCUUCAGAAUUUGGUGCAGAAUUCUUAUGUGAAAAAAGCAUUACUAGAGUUCUUAAAGGGCAUCUUCACAAGGACAACGGGAAGAAAAAAGACAAAACACACGACACAAAAGACUAUGUGUCGUGUGUUUAUUCCCGGGGGAGAAGGAAAGCGGGGAGCCAAAGAAAUCAGUGUGCUCGUGCCCAGUUUGCUUCUGUCUGUCCAGUUCAAAGGUUAGAGAACUUUGUUUUUUAAAGUUACAGUAAUAUGACUAUAAUAAUCACGUCGGAAGAAUAAUGAACAAAAAACUGUGUCCUUGGAAACCAAGGCGAGUCUAAAUGGUGGGGAUCUGUGUUACUUCCCUCUGACGUGUUGUGGUCCUGUUGUGGAUUCAGCCCAGCACUCUGCUGGGUACUUUGCGUGUGUAACCUCAUUAAAUCUUUUUUGAUUCUGUGAGGUGGGCAUUAUCGCCAUUUUAUGAGUGGGGAAACUGAGGCUGAGAGAAAUUAACUGGUCCUGAAUCAUAGAACAUAAAGUGAAGGAGCCAGACUUUCAUCCCAGGUAUUUCUGGCUCCAGAACAUACGCUCUUCACUCUAUUUGUGAAACAUUGGGAUAAUAGUAUUGUAGAUGAUACAUUUGGAUGGUAGUCAGCUACUUUGCUGAGAAAUAGGAAAAAAGGGAAACUAAAAUUACCCUUUUACCCCAAACCAUUACAUAAUGAAACAAUGAACCAGA